rnacentral:rRNA from 1 species
UACGUAGGGUGCAAGCGUUGCUCGGAAUUACUGGGCGUAAAGCGCACGUAGGCGGAUUGUUAAGUCGGGGGUGAAAUCCUGGAGCUCAACUCCAGAACUGCCUUCGAAACUGGCGAUCUUGAGUCCGGGAGAGGUGAGUGGAACUGCGAGUGUAGAGGUGAAAUUCGUAGAUAUUCGCAAGAACACCAGUGGCGAAGGCGGCUCACUGGCCCGGUACUGACGCUGAGGUGCGAAAGCGUGGGGAGCAAACAGG